GAUGAAGAACGUAGCGAAAUGCGAUACGUAAUGUGAAUUGCAGAAUUCAGUGAAUCAUCGAGUCUUUGAACGCACAUUGCGCCCCCUGGUAUUCCGGGGGGCAUGCCUGUCCGAGCGUCAUUGCUGCCCUCAAGCACGGCUUGUGUGUUGGGCCUCCGUCCUCCUCCCGGGGGACGGGCCCGAAAGGCAGCGGCGGCACCGCGUCCGGUCCUCGAACGUAUGGGGCUUCGUCACCCGCUCUUGUAGGCCCGGCCGGCGCUUGCCGACACAUCAAUCUUUUUUCCAGGUUGACCUCGGAUCAGGUAGGGAUACCCGCUGAACUUAAGCAUAUCAAUAAGCGGAGGA
rnacentral:misc_RNA from 1 species